rnacentral:rRNA from 1 species
UGGGGAAUUUUGGACAAUGGGCGAAAGCCUGAUCCAGCAAUGCCGCGUGUGUGAAGAAGGCCUUCGGGUUGUAAAGCACUUUUGUCCGGAAAGAAAUCCUUGGCUCUAAUACAGUCGGGGGAUGACGGUACCGGAAGAAUAAGCACCGGCUAACUACGUGCCAGCAGCCGCGGUAAUACGUAGGGUGCAAGCGUUAAUCGGAAUUACUGGGCGUAAAGCGUGCGCAGGCGGUUUGCUAAGACCGAUGUGAAAUCCCCGGGCUCAACCUGGGAACUGCAUUGGUGACUGGCAGGCUAGAGUAUGGCAGAGGGGGGUAGAAUUCCACGUGUAGCAGUGAAAAUGCGUAGAGAUGUGGAGGAAUACCGAUGGCGAAGGCAGCCCCCUGGGCCAAUACUGACGCUCAUGCGCGAAAGCGUGGGGGAGCAAAACAGGAUUAGAUACCCUGGUAGUCCACGCCCUAAAACGAUGUCAACUAGUUGUUGGGGAUUCAUUUCCUUAGUAACGUAGCUAACGCGUGAAGUCGCACCGCUGGGGGAGUACGGUCGCAAAGAUUAAAAACUCAAAUGAAUUGAGGGGGUCAUAGCUGUUUCCU